UACGAAGGGUGCAAGCGUUACUCGGAAUUACUGGGCGUAAAGCGUGCGUAGGUGGUGCGUUAAGUCUGUCGUGAAAGCCCCGGGCUCAACCUGGGAAUGGCGAUGGAUACUGGCGCGCUAGAGUGCGGUAGAGGAGAGUGGAAUUCCCGGUGUAGCAGUGAAAUGCGUAGAGAUCGGGAGGAACAUCAGUUGCGAAGGCGGCUCUCUGGACCGUAACUGACGCUGAGGCGCGAAAGCGUGGGGAGCAAACAGG
rnacentral:rRNA from 1 species